rnacentral:lncRNA from 1 species
CUUUCAUUUUUUUUUUUUUAACAGUCAUUUUCUUAAGAAAAAAGAGGGGGAAAGAAAGCCUGAACUUACACUUUUGUGUGUACUGGAAGAAAAAGGAAAAAACAAAACCAAACCAUGCACCUGACCCCUUGCUACCCUUCCUCAGGAUGGGAGGACCAUGUCUGGAGCCUCACAAGCGGGGGCUUCGUAAGGCUCCCCUGCGUCCCUGCUUCCUGGAAUCUGCUAAAAGAAUAUGCCAAACCGGCCAAGAUAUUUGACUGAGAUCUGGAAGCUCCAGUGGUCAGGACGGGUCGUUCCUUGCACGGUACUUGCUCGAUGGUGCGUUCGUUCCUCCAGCCUAUGCACGUGCAUCUGUGCCUGCGGGACGCCUGGCGCUGGGCGAGCCUGUGGGCCCUGCAAGUUGAGUCUGACCCCACCCCCGAGCACAGAGAACUUUCCGGCCCCUGGGCAGCAUCCAUGGCACCAUGGGAAACCUGAGGAGGGCAGCACCACUUCCUGUGAGCCUCCUGAGCCACUGUGGGGAAGCCAGCUGGACCAGUUUGGAGAGAGAAACUUGCAGAGCUGGACGUGACCUCGGUGACGGUGACUCUCAGAGGCAAGCGUAGGUCGGAAUCACCUGGGCAGUAUGACAAGAGAUGGGGCAGCUGGGACCCGCCCCUGGAGGUUCCGGUGCCGUCUGGGGCUGCCUCUGUCCCUGCACAACACUUGCUGGCACCCUCAUUGCCUGUCCCAAGUGUUGUCCAACCCCCUCAGAUGCAAGGAGUUCUAAGCCCAGCGGGCGGAGCUGGUGUCCAGCCUGAGAGGGGCACCCCGCGCCUCCCCACACCCUCCCCCCAUCUAAUGAGGGUCUCCCAACAGGAUGGACAUCAGUUUUCUUUCCCCCCUUUCUGCUCGCCUCAGCCCAUCUCCCAGAACCUGAUGAGAGCCUGCUGAGCUCAAAAGAUCCCCAAGAACCAAGACGGAAGCUGCAGCUUUCAGAGGAGCGGGUCCGAGGGGCACCACCAGCCGGCUGUCCUGCACCACCAGCUGGCCAGGCUGCGUCCCAGUCAGUCAGCAGCCCCAGGCGGGCCCUCGCCAGACCAAGAUGGCUAGGCCAAGAGCCACUCUUGCUCCUGGAUGCCUCCGCUGCCUUUCUGCCCAAAGCAUCACCCAGCAGUGGCAGGGGCUGGGAGUUUGCUGGGGACGCAGAAUGUCAGGCUCACCCCAGACUUUAACCAGGACCUGCAGGGAUUUAUGUGUGAGCACAUUAAAGCUUGAGAAGCUCUGGCCUCUGCCUCCUAGGCUGGCUGGAAAAGGCACUCUCCCACCCCUUGCCCAGGGUAAAGAAGGAAGGGAAG